rnacentral:sRNA from 1 species
UACUGAUGCUUUGCAUCAACUCUGAGUUAUAAAAGUGGUCUCGUUUUUUUUCGGUAUUUUUUUUUAUAAUAAAGGAGACUAUUAUGUCUACAACAGGAAAGGUCAAAUGGUUUGACGCAAAAAAAGGUUUUGGUUUUAUUGAGCAAGAAAGUGGUGACGAUGUAUUCGUUCACUUCCGCGCUAUUGAGGGUGAUGGCUAUAAAUCACUAGAUGAAGGUCAGGAAGUUGUGUUCGAUUUAGAAGACGGUGCUAAAGGCCCUCAAGCUGUAAAUGUAAUUCCACAGUAAAUUUAUUUAUUUAGAAUUAAAAAAACCCAGUCUUAAUGACUGGGUUUUUUAU